UAUUAUGAUUUCAAAUUCCAAAAGAAAGGGAGAUUUGAGUCUUUUAAAGAGAUAGGGAAAGUUGAUAUUCCACUAAUAUUUUCGAUACUUCAAUAACUAAUGAAUAAAAGAUACUAUGACUUUAUCUUUUAAAGUAGAGGAAUGUGACAAUAAAUGUACAAACGAGAAGGACAAAGACACUAAUUGAAAUAAUAUAUAUGAACCUAUGGCUCGUUUUUGUGUCGUUUAAAGAUUAUUUUUACACUCUCUUAAGCUGCUGAAAAUUUUUCCGGUUGUUUAUAGUAGCCCACAUUUGGUGUUGAGUUCCGCCACUCCAUAUAAUGUAAACACAGUACUGGAAGGCAAAGAGGGCGAAAUAAAAACAUAAGAAUUCACGCAAACCAAAUCACUUUGAAGAUAAAUCUUUUCAACGUAUGUAUGAUAUCUAAGUUGCCAAAUUGUCUAUGAAUUCACAUGCUAAAGGUUACCAUCUGUUUAAGUAAUAAC